UAUUGUUGUUUUGGCUUACUAUGUGAAAUAAUUUUUUGUAGUUUUUAUGCAAAGGACAUAUAACUUUCUAGUUUAAACCGCUUAAAAUUUAAAGUGUAAGAAAUUUUGAUUUAAAAGGAAGAGAGAAAGGAUAUCAUAAAAACUUCCCGUCGUUACACGGAAAGAAAAUGUUAGAGUUCGUCGUGUUGUUGCUGGUCCUGGCUGUGAUUUUUAUAGCUUGUUUUAUGGUACGGAUAACUGGCGAAACCUUGCCUGCACCAAGAAUGGGAGGACGGGCUGAACUUCAAGCCGAUAUUUUUUUCCAAUUUCGUUGAUUUUUCGAUAAUAUUUUCUAAUGUAGAUUAUUUUAUUCUAUUUCUUUAUUGUAUUUCAGAUCAUAUUCAAACUUUAAAAAUUUGCGCGUCGUUCAAAAUUCUGCUCGCGCUAUCCUUUAAAAAACUUUUUCAGAUUACAAUGUCUGGUUUUAUUAAUGUUCAAACAGAAAUUUUUGACAAAAUUUCAGUUUGAACAUUCUUUGAUCUUUAACUGUUGCUUAAAAAAAUGUUAGCCGUCGUUGUUAAGACUUCUUUUAUGCCAAAUUUUUUGUUUAUACCGACAGGUAACUUGUUUAAGAACCAGUUUCUUAAAUAUAAAGGUAUAUUUACCUGGAAAUAUGCCCCAAGUUAAAUCUCUGCGGUUGGCUUUUUCGUGUCUGUUGCCUUGUUCUGUAAAAUACACGUUAGAAAAAAAAUCAUUGUUGCGUCGUUUUUAGAAGCAGCAUAUAUUUAGAAGAUAUAUUUUUUUGGGAAUUCUGAUCAAAUUCGCAAGGUUGAAAUUUACGUAGUUCUUCGAUAUUCGGACAAUUUGCAAAAGUCACCGGAAUUGAAUAAAAAUAUAGAAAAACGGAAAAUGCGAAUACAAUAAGUAAACAAACUCGUCCCCAGUGUUCCUUUUUUGCCAGAAAGCGAAAAAAAGGCCUGAGAAACAGACUGAUAAGCAAGAGCAACAAACCUUUUAAUUUAGCUGUGGCUUCUUGAUUCAUCGAGUUAAUAGCAGAUUGAAACUGCUUGCCUAUUGGUUUCCAGUGAGAUGCGGAUUUCUUUCCCGUUUUGCCGUUGACACCCAAAGUGAUAACAGCGACCAAAAAUACCACAGCGCUACGAAAAAAUGUAAAACAAAGA